rnacentral:rRNA from 1 species
UACGUAGGGUGCAAGCGUUAAUCGGAAUUACUGGGCGUAAAGCGUGCGCAGGCGGCUUUGCAAGACAGAUGUGAAAUCCCCGGGCUCAACCUGGGAACUGCAUUUGUGACUGCAUGGCUGGAGUGCGGCAGAGGGGGAUGGAAUUCCGCGUGUAGCAGUGAAAUGCGCAGAUAUGCGGAGGAACACCGAUGGCGAAGGCAAUCCCCUGGGCCUGCACUGACGCUCAUGCACGAAAGCGUGGGGAGCAAACAGG